ensembl:lncRNA
AAUCUAAGAUCUAAUUCUUGUUAAUCUUAUUUUUAUACUCUGUCUAGUAUAAUGUGAUGUGAAGAUUACAAAUAUCUGUUUUUUUGUUUUUUUUUUUUCAUUCUAAGAGAAUGGAAUACAUUGACUUUCAGCCUUUUCUGCACAUAGAGGUUCUGAAGAAUUAUUUCUAGGAAUGAAUGAUUGUUGACCAGGUGAUGGAAUAUUAAACAGGAAACAAGGUUCAUGCAGAGAAGAUACUUGAAAGUACUGCUGUGUGCUUCUACUGAGCCAGCUGGACCAUACUAAAUGUAUGCACAAUUCUGGUGUCCAGAAUAAAUAGAGCAGUCAGAAAGAACCCUUGCAGGAUGAAGCCAGAACGUUGCCCAAUGGAGAUGAAGCCCACCUACAAUUUAACUGCUAAUAUGGAGAGAGGAGACAAUGCUUUAACCAAAAGUUCUUGAGUGUCUGUGAUCUAACAAAGGAGGCCAUCACUCUGGUAAGAAAGAUGCAUCAUGAUGUCUUUAUUUGAUGCCAUUAAGCAACAAAUUCAUACAACUGCCCAGUUCCCCACAUUCUAACUCCACUUUUGGCCAGAAACAUUCCAGCUUGCCUCCCUUAUGAAGCUUGACUUUGGGAGGCAAACCAUGAUGAGCAGGCUGACAAAAGUAUUCUAGGCACAGGAACAAUUCUUUUUCUCCAUAGAAAUGUUUACAAACACUUAUAAACAUGAAAUUUACAUUCUGGAUGCCUGUACAAAAAUCACAACAUGAAAUGAUUUUGGUAAUCUAGACCAUAAAGUACAUGGAGG